UGGGUGGACUCUUUACAACAAUGCCUAAAUAGGCUUUCUAGCCAGUUUGAAAGGUCAGAGAAAUAUUGAUAUUUCUCUGACCUUUCAAACUGGCUAGAAAGCAUUUAACUUU